CCUACGGGAGGCAGCAGUGGGGAAUAUUGCACAAUGGGGGAAACCCUGAUGCAGCAACGCCGCGUGAGUGAGGAAGUAUUUCGGUAUGUAAAGCUCUAUCAGCAGGGAAUAGAAAAGAAGGUACUUGAAAAAGAAGCCCGGGCUAACUACGUGCCAGCAGCGGCGGUAAUACGUAGGGGCCAAGCGUUAUCCGGAUUAACUGGGUGGAAGGGGAGCGUAGCGGGAGAGGCAAGUCAGAAGUGAAUACCCAAGGCUCAAUCAUGGGACUGCUUUUUAAACUGUCAAACUAGAGUGCGGGAGAGGUAAGAGAAAUUCCUAGUGUAGCGGUGAAAUGCGUAGAUAUUAGGAGGAACACCAGUGGCGAAGGCGUCUUACUGGACCGAAACUGACGUUGAGGCUCGAAAGCGUGGGGAGCAAACAGGAUUAGAUACCCGAGUAGUC
rnacentral:rRNA from 1 species